rnacentral:misc_RNA from 1 species
CAGAGAAAUUGCCCUUCGGGGUAGAUCUCCCACCCUAUGUUUACAUUACCUUUGUUGCUUUGGCAGGCCCGUCUUUUGACCACUGGCUUAGGCUGGUCAGUGUCUGCCAGAGGAUCCCAAACUCUUGAUAUUUUGUUGUCCGAGUACUAUAUAAUAAGUUAA